GGCCAUAAUUCUUUCUUAAUAAUAAUUCUAUUUAAAUUAUAAUUUUUUCAUAUAUCAUGGAGAAUGGAUUGUGUAACUGUUGCUAUGUAUCAUGAUGGCAAGUUUGUAAAUAAGAGUAAAUUCAUGGAGCAUGUUGGAGAGAAUAUGACUUAUUAUGACAUCCGUGACAUAAAAAGCUUAUGUUAUAAGAAGUUGUUGCCCAAAAAUAGCAACCUAAAGGGAGGGGGAGGUG
rnacentral:lncRNA from 1 species